UACGAAGGGGGCAAGCGUUGUUCGGAAUAACUGGGCGUAAAGCGCACGUAGGCGGAAUGUUAAGUUAGAGGUGAAGUCCCAGGGCUCAACCCUGGAACGGCCUUUAAUACUGGCAAUCUAGAGACCGAGAGAGGUGAGUGGAAUUCCGAGUGUAGAGGUGAAAUUCGUAGAUAUUCGGAGGAACACCAGUGGCGAAGGCGGCUCACUGGCUCGGUACUGACGCUGAGGUGCGAAAGCGUGGGGAGCAAACAGGAUUAGAUACCCGAGUAGUCC
rnacentral:rRNA from 1 species